CCGCCGGCCACGCCGCCGUGGGGAGUCACAGAAUCACAUUGGACACUUAUGCAGUGGGAAGGCAGCAGCAGUCAGGAGAGGGAGGAGAGUGCUGGGCGCUGCUCAGAACAGAGGGAGGAGUAGGA